rnacentral:rRNA from 1 species
AUUGAACGCUGGCGGCAUGCCUUACACAUGCAAGUCGAACGGCAGCACGGGUGCUUGCACCUGGUGGCGAGUGGCGAACGGGUGAGUAAUACAUCGGAACAUGUCCUGUAGUGGGGGAUAGCCCGGCGAAAGCCGGAUUAAUACCGCAUACGAUCUACGGAUGACAGCGGGGGACCUUCGGGCCUCGCGCUAUAGGGUUGGCCGAUGGCUGAUUAGCUAGUUGGUGGGGUAACGGCCUACCAAGGCGACGAUCAGGAGCUGGUCUGAGAGGACGACCAGCCACACUGGGACUGAGACACGGCCCAGACUCCUACGGGAGGCAGCAGUGGGGAAUUUUGGACAAUGGGCGAAAGCCUGAUCCAGCAAUGCCGCGUGUGUGAAGAAGGCCUUCGGGUUGUAAAGCACUUUUGUCCGGAAAGAAAUCCUUGGCCCUAAUACGGUCGGGGGAUGACGGUACCGGAAGAAUAAGCACCGGCUAACUACGUG